CCCUCAUUAAACACUUACCAGAUCCUUUUCUGUUGCUAUGUAGGCAGUAUAAUAGCUUUCACAGCUGCUUGCUGAAUGAAAUGGGGAAACACACACACACACACACACACACACACACACACACAAUUUGGGAGUGUGUGUGGGGAGAGAAAUUUCCACAGUGUUUCAGGAUCAAGGGAUGCUAGUGACAGAUAAGUAAACUGAGGCUCCCUGAGGUAAGCUGAGCUUCCCGAAGUCACAGAACCAUAAAGUGCCAAAGUAGGACUAGACAGGAGAAGAUUCUGGAAGUGACAGAUAUCUAAAGAAGAGGGAUCCCCAUCUGUUCAGAUUUUCAGAUGCACAUGUAGUCUGGAGACCUAGGAGAGGAGGUAAAACUAUAACUUGUUAAUAUUGGAAAAGAUCCAGCAUCUAGCUUGUUAUUGUUGCAAGAACACACGCUAUAGUUACUAGCUUGGCUAAACUUGUUAUACAACCAGUGACAGGAAGCUCACUGCCUACCAAGUCAGUGCAUAUUCUGUUUGAACAACUUGUCGGAAAGCCUUUCCUUAUGUUGCGCCUUGAUGUAACUUCCACUUCUGGAGCUGCCCAGAGUGAGCCAGGUGCUUUCUUCGCAGCAUAACCUUUACGUGUUUCAAGACAAGCUAGUGUGUCUGCUGCUCUGACCCUUCCGUCCACACGUGCGUUCGGCAAGCAUAUCAGGAUUCUUGGUAACAAAUGGCAAUAAGUGGUAAUAAACGGAAAACUCAAACUGACUUAAACAUGG